CCUACGGGUGGCAGCAGUGGGGAAUAUUGGGCAAUGGGCGCAAGCCUGACCCAGCAACGCCGCGUGAAGGCAGAAGGCCCUCGGGUUGUAACCUUCUUUUAUUCGGGACGAAACAAAUGACGGUACCGAAUGAAUAAGCCACGGCUAACUACGUGAAAGCAGCCGCGGUAAUAAGUAGGUGGCAAGCGUUCUCCGGAUUUACUGGGUGUACAGGGCGUGUAGGGGGGAGAGCAAGUCCUACGUGACAUUCCAGGGCACAACCCUGGAACUGGGUUUUAAAACGUUCUUCGUGAGGGAUGGAGAGGCAGGCGGAAUUGCGGGUGUAGCGGGGAAAUGCGUAGAUAUACGGAGGAACACCAGUGGCGAAGGCGGCCUGCUGGACAUUAACUGACGCUGAGGCGCGAAAGCGUGGGGAGCAAACAGGAGUAGAUACCCUGGUAGUC
rnacentral:rRNA from 1 species